GGAGGACGUCGUCGCGGCCCAGGCGGCGCAGGAGGUCGAGGAGGCGGCCGACGGUGGCGCCACCGGGGCAGCGGCACUGCCAGUCCUCCAGCAGCGCGGCGGUGGGGUCGGGCUGCGCCUCCAGCCGCCGGAUCUCCAGCUCCACCACCACUGACCCCACCAGACUGACAGAGCACUUUCCUUCCAUACCCAUCUUCUCCAAGAACAUCAACCCAGGCAGCAGAUACAAGUUCUGACAUACUGCAGGAUCCACGUCUUAGUCUUUCCCCAUUUUAAAAGGGAAGUACACUCAAAAAGCAAAGUGCAAGAGCCAGUCUCCCAAUCUUACUGGCUCCAGUUUGGAUGCCCUCAAGCACGGUAGGAAGUUGGUUGGUUUUACUUUGACCUCAUGAACAGAGUAGAAGCUGAACAUCAGCCUUGGCUCUCUUCUGUCUGUCUGCAUUGAGGGGUGGUUAGCCCAGUGAAGGCUUUCAGAGAUAACCCAUUCCUUCCUGCUUGCCAUUGGCAAGGUCCAGAGGGCAGGGAAGGAUGCUGUGAAAGACAUGCUGUCUAUGGCUAAGCCCCGCUGACUAUACAAAGCUGAUGGGUUAAAGAAGCAGCUAAAAUUUA